UUAAGUAUUGUGCUGCUUGCUGUAAAUAUGGACAGAUAGUAAUAAUAUGUUGGGUUUUUAGGUGGGCAUUUCAUGAAGCAAAGGAUGCCCAUAAAGGACCUUCAUACAUUU